ACCCAGCUCACAGGCAGCCCAAAAGGUCAGUCUCACUCCCACUAUGUCUCCCCUCAACAGCACUGAGUUUGUUUCCAGGCAGCUGGUGAGCAGAGCUGACACCUUUCCUCAGGCUAUAAGCCUCCCCACUGAGAAAGCAAGGAGGGCUUUCAGGUUUCAUGCCUCCCCACCUGCCACGGUUUCCUCCCCAAGGACCCCUGCAAGAAAAAGUCAGGAAUGGAUUCCUGGAACCAAGAAUGUCCACAGGGCUCUUGAUGCUGCUUCCUCUACCCCUAUAUUUUAUAUAGAGAAUCCUGGAAAUUUAAAAAAAAAAACAACAACUGGCAAAAAUGAAUAAAUUGGAUUGGAGAUUAAGAAAUGAUUAGUACUAUGGAGAAAAAUAAAGCAGAGAAUGGAGAUGGGGGUGAAUGGGUCAAAACAGAGUUCUGGAAGUACUCACUGCAGAGACAAACGGAAAUGAGUCCACUCUAGGAAGAAGAAUAACUGGAAGCUUGAAAGUUUUUCUGAAUGAGCUGUGUAAAUGAAACUUGGAAAUGUGGCUUCAGGAGAAAGAACCAGGUUUGACACAGUGGGCUAAUCUUAAACAGGGACAAUAAUUGGAGCAGAAUGGCCACAAAUGAGCCGAAUAAAUCAGCCAUUGACAAAUAGGGAUACACGUAAGUAUUUAGUAAGUAAUAUGAUAAAUCCACACCAUCAUCGACUGGAUAGUUCCUCAAUUAGACUGCUACAUUUGAGAGCUAUAAUAUGCUAAAAGAAUAAAUCUCCUAAAUUAAGAAGGCACUAUUAAUUUAAACAAUUAUUACUAUUAUUUCUCCAAUGACAAGUAUUUCUCUUCAUAACAUUUUGCCAUUUGACACAGGCUUUCAACAUUAUUUAAAAUAAAAUGAUAAUAUAUAGUCACAUUACAGCUCUUGCAGAAGCUUCCUAUAAUAGCAUUUCCUAUAGGGAAUCUUUCAGUGACAGCUAGAGACCAUGUCUUGACUUUUGAACUGAACUGGUGGUUUUCUUUGACUCCUUUUGGCAUGGUUGGCAUACCUUGCCAAUUAGGAUCAGAGUUACAGGUAGAAAGGCCAUGUGACAAUAAUCAUUAUAUGUAGGUUAAAUUAAAAAUAUCCUCCCUGUAUAUUACAGACCUUGCCUUCUAAAUUUGUGUUAGAUUUUUCUCUUCCCAAUUUAAUUUAGAAUUGACAGACAAAUCAUAUUCUGUUGAGCUCUUCUAACCAAUUUUGUCUAUCUUUUUCCUCAUUUCUCCUUUCUUGAAAGUUUGUGCAUGCUUUGUCUUAUUGAAAACACUCAGAUCUAACAAGGAAGCAUACUUAUAGAUGUAUGUGAGUAGAAAAACAUUAUAGGACAUGCUGAAUCACUGACAAACCAGCUCCUGCUAUUUCCACAUCAUCAUAUUGUUUUCUUCUCUAUAUCUGACCCACUUUCAGCGAUAACAGAUUAAUUUACCAUAUUGACCUUGAAAUAUUAAAUGUAUUCAGCCACCUGAAGAUAAGCUUGUAUUAUAAGCAGAGAAUAAGUGAUGGUUAUUAAUAAUUACUGUAGAAGAAAAAGUGUAAAUUAGCAGACUCAGUGUUAGCAGUCAUAAAUCCAAAUUCCAACUCUUACUUUCUAGCUGUGAGACAAAGUCUAAGUCACUUAACAUCUAGCCUACUCUCCAUCUCAGUAAAAAUGUGUAUACACCAUCUUCUACUGCCUUGGCUUACAAGGUUAUCAUAAAGCUUCAAUAAAAAGGUAGUUGCAACACGGUAUUAUGAAAUACCAAUUUUUGUAGGACAAAAAUGGUCAAAUAUUGGGAAUUUCAUAGGGUUCAAUCUAAUAAACACUCAAUUAGUACCUUUAUUUUUAAAAAAGCUUUAUAGAGCUUUUUUGAAACAUAAAAUAACCUUUAAUGAGUAAGAUUCAAUAGUUAGAGCAAUUAGCAGCAUGUACAAAUAUAAAAUGAGGCCAGAUUUGGUCACUGACAGGAAAUGCAUAUUUGGGCUAAUGUCACACAUUUCUGAAGUCAAGUAUAUCAUCUACUGGAUGAUGCUGAAUAAGUCAGGGCAAAUUAAUAAAUGAUUAUAAUUAAAAUUAUAAGUAAAAUAUAGUUUUAUGAAUAAAUGUAGUGACAGGUAGUAAAAUAGUCACGAAUGUAAGUCAGCACUAAAUAACGCUAUUGGCUUUUUAAAUGGCAUUAGUAAUGGUGACAUUGCAAAUUUUCACUACAUUUUCUUUUAUGUUCAAAGGAUGCACAUCUCCCUUUUUAUGUCCUAGACAGAUUGUAAGACUAUCUUUUUCUUGCACAUCCAGAAAAGGUUUAUUCUGCCAGUGAUCUUUAGGUUUAAAAUAUGAAAACAUUAAGAUAGACAUAUUGAUAGUCACAGGAUCUUAACAGAUUUAAUCAGAUAAUAAUAAGCCAGGAACACUAUGAUUUCUAAUUUCAAUUUAAACUUGAAUUUGAUAAAAUACACUGUUUCUGUUACCUAUGGCUAUGUAACAAAUUACCCCAAAAUUUAAUGGUUUACAAGCACACUUUGUUAUUAUCUCUCAGGAUUCUAUAGGUUGAUUAGGUUAACUUGGGUGUUCUCUUUGGGGGUCUCUCAUGCAGUUUUAUCCCAUAGAGGCUGGGGCUGAAGUCAUCAGAAGCCUCAGUUGGGAUGGUCAUCCAAGAUAACUUCUUCACUCACACACCUACACUUCCACGUAGCCUCUCUCUCCAGCCUAGAAUUUUUACGUGACAGCUCAGAGCUCCGAGAUAGGAGGCAGAAACUGCUAGUCCUCUUAACAAGGAGGUCUGGAACUGGAGCAGCUUUACUUCUGCUGUAUUCUCUUGAUCAAAACAGGCAAAAGUCAUUCCUGGUUCAAGGGGGUGGAGAAGCAUAUUCCACCCUCAUGGGAGGGGAAGUUAUGGAUAGUAACCAUCUUUGGAAACAAGGUGCCACAAAAAUAUUAGCAAAUAAGAGCUGAAAACGUAUACAUCAGGGUCCAGAAAACAAAAACUGCCAUAUUGUCAUUUUACAUCUCUUAUUCAGUCCUAAGUCUGCUACUUAUUGGUUGAGAAAUUUUGAGCAAUUUAGUUAAUCUCUCUAGCCUUAGUUUUCUCAUCCAUAAAAUGGAGCUGAUUAUCACUAACAUAUAUGCUUGUGAGAAUUCAAAGCAUAAUGUCCUCAAAGUGAUUAAUAUGUUUAAGUCUCAAAUACAAUGGGACUUAUAUAAUUAGAUAGUUUCUUUUUUUUAUGUACAGGCCUGUUUUGACCUCUUUGCCUUCAUAUGUUUCUGAUUGCUUUUCACUCUUUCUUAUUGGCAUGAAUGGGACUUCAGUUGUAUUUUAGAUUUAAAUUACAUUAUAUCUAUAAAAAUAAUCCAUAAAAUGUACCUAUUUUAGAGAAACAGGAAAAAUGUUCCCAUGAUGCACUAUUCAUUCAUUCACUCACUCAUUUCAAAAUAUUAUGCUUAGAAGAGUUGUCAGAAUAUAUGCUAUGCCCAAGGAUAGUACAACUGACUAUGACAUCUUCUCAUAUAAUGUUCACAUACUAGUUAGGAAAAAUAGUACUAUGAACUGACUAGUUGCCUAAGGUGUUGCAAAUGCUGUACC